CGCAGGCGAAAAGACACGGAUGCAACCUGAGUCCUAGGAUUCCGGGGACCAGAGGGCAGCGCCGGCGGCCAAGUGAUUUUCAAAGAGGAAACUUCAGCCAGAAAAAGGAGCAGAUGGCCCUGUAUCAGGCCUCCUGCAGGGUGAAUAUUUUGGAGGAGUCAGGGCUUUUCUGCGAUUUGUACCUGCCCUAUUAUGGUGGACCAUAGAAGACUUCACCAGACGUUGGUGUCAUGCUUUUAGACUUCCAGCCUCCAGAACCAGGAGCCAAAUAACCUUCUGCUAUUUAUAAGUUACCCAGUUUGUGAUGUUGUUUUUCUCUCUUGUUUGGAUUUUGAGACAGGGUCUCACUCUGUACUUCAGGCUGGCCUCAAACUGCUUGGGAUUACAGGCCUGGCUUGGCAUUCUUUUUAUAGCGGCAGAAAAUGGACAGAAGGAAAAUGAAGGUGGCUUUGUGACACAUCUGUAAGCCCAGCACAGAAUGAUUGUGAGUUUGAGGCCAGCCUGGGCAAGUUCAAGGCCAGCGUGGACUAAAUAGUGAGACUUUGUCUCAAAAAAGAAAAAAAUAAAUAAAAUGAAGGUGAGCAAAACUGAAGAUGUUUGCUGUAAAUGCUUAGUAAGUCUUAAUGCAUUAUUGAAGUUCAUAAAAUGAUAACUCCCUUCAGCUAUCUCAUGUGGCAAUUUUUAUUCCUUUUCAAAUAAGUUGUAUAUGUUUGAUCUUAUGGAGCUUUGUAACAUUCCUAUGAGGUAGACAGAAGUACAAGUGUUACCUUUCCAUUUUACAGAUGAGGAAAUCAAAGCACAGAGCUGUCACACAGCAGGGAGGUAUGGCUUUGCCUACAGUCACACAGAGCUGUAGCUGGUUCAGAAUUCACUGGCAGAGCCACUGUGAAUGGAAACUGGAAUAUGCAGGGUAUGGGUUAAUCAAGGCCUGACAUGGGGUUUGAAUCAGUUGCCAGGGUUUGUCCCUGAGCAAACAGUCUGUGCUGGUAGCAGUCCGGCAUGUCAAGGACCCAUUGUUGAUGUCCUGGCAGGUGGCAAGGGAAAGAACUGGUACAUAGGCAGGACAUUCUCACCCCAGGAACACCCUCUCAUGACUGAUUCCCUUUACAUCAACCAGCUGGAUACAAGACUUGGUUUUUCCUGUCCCAGAAAAAAAUGCCAAUCAAAACAACAAAAAAAAGAGAGGGAGGCGGGCUGACUUCUCUCAAGGGAACUUGGUCCUAGAGCCAGGAGUAUCUCUGCCAGGAUGAGAGGGG
ensembl:lncRNA